rnacentral:rRNA from 1 species
CUGGCGGCGUGCUGAAACAUGCAAGUCGAACGGACCUUGCAGUUCUGAACCCUUCGGGGUGAAGAACUGCGCUGGUUAGUGGCGGACGGGUGAGUAACGCGUGAGCAAUCUGCCUUUUUGAGGGGGAUAACACUGGGAAACCAGUGCUAAUACCGCAUAAUAUAUCGUUGUCGCAUGGCAAUGAUAUCAAAGGAGCAAUCCGCAAAAAGAUGAGCUCGCGUCUGAUUAGAUAGUUGGUAGGGUAACGGCCUACCAAGUCUGCGAUCAGUAGCCGGACUGAGAGGUUGAACGGCCACAUUGGGACUGAGACACGGCCCAGACUCCUACGGGAGGCAGCAGUUAGGGAUAUUGCACAAUGGACGAAAGUCUGAUGCAGCAACGCCGCGUGAGGGAAGAAGGUUUUCGGAUUGUAAACCUCUGUCUUUGGUGAAGAAAAAAAUGACGGUAGCCAAGGAGGAAGCCACGGCUAACUACGUGCCAGCAGCCGCGGUAAUACGUAGGUGGCAAGCCUUGUCCGGAUUUACUGGGUGUAAAGGGUGCGCAGGCGGGCUUUCAAUUUGGAUUUGAAAAUUU